rnacentral:lncRNA from 1 species
GCUAGUUUUCUAAAGCGAUAAAGCAAAAGGAAAGGCUCCUUUUACCAUCUUAAAGCUCAGUAAAAAAAUGUACUUUCACGAUAAACAUACAGAGCAGAAAGGGCUUCAAGCUUUAAGAUUUUUGGGGGGUACUGGUGAGUUAACAAAACUUAAAGAAGAACUUGUGUAAGCAUCUGAUGCCUCCUUGCUACAUUGCGAACUCCAACCAGUUUUCAGUGCAAUCUGUGAGGCUUGUGGAUUCCCCAGAUCAAAACCCCAACUUCUUAGAGAAAGAAUGAGGUUGAAGAGAAGGAAGGAGGAGUGGGGCUUACCACAGGCUGUGAGCAUCCCAUCCAGAGUCUUGAAUCAGUGCCCACACACUGAGUGCGUUGUUGGCCUUUUAAACUGGUGUUAUGUAAAUACAUUAUGUUAUAUUUAUCUUAAGCUGCUGCAGUCUAUAAAUAUUCAAGUGUCUGCUGCCAUUUUUAUGAAUGUAAGUAAGACCCAUGUUGCACUAAUGGCAGUUAUGUUUUCAAUCACAGAUGGGGAAGAAUCUCAAGAGACACUUAAAAGCAUGGAGGGUAUUAAACAUCCAAUAGGCAAAAAAUCCUAAGGCUUAAAGAAGGAAAAUAACCAGUUUUAAAGGGAACAUUGCAGUAGAAACAAUGAGGAGAAUAAUUUACUUUCAUGAAAAUCCUACUGAGCGUGAAUGAGCAAAACAGAGAGAACUCUCCUUAGCUGGGAUCUUCGUGGUGUGCUGUGCCUCACUUCAGAUUGCCACACUGACCUCGAUGUUUAGGAAGGAUACCAUUAUUUAAAAAUAAUUCCAGUAUGCCAUGGAUGGCAUUUGCUAUCAGCAGGGUGCUCAGAGAUCCUACACUUUGAAGGUAAAUACUACAGUUUAAUCUGUUGGGUUUUGUGGUGGUGGUUUUGUUUUUUUUAAUUAUUUUUUUAAAUUAUUUUUUAAUGAGAGAAAGAGAGGU